rfam:Triticum aestivum genome assembly, contig: Triticum_aestivum_CS42_TGACv1_scaffold_129544_2BL
CAACUACUCCCUUUGUCCCAAAUUUCUUGUCUUAGAUUUGUCUAGAUACGGAUGUAUCUAAUACUAAAAUGUGACUUGCUACAUCUGUAUCUAGACAAAUCUAAGACAAGAAUUUUGGGACAGAGGGAUUACUUU